rnacentral:rRNA from 1 species
GUGGAUUAGAUACCCCGGUAGUCCACGCCGUAAACGAUGGACACUAGGCGUCGGGGGGAGCGACCCUCCCGGUGCCGUCGCUAACGCAGUAAGUGUCCCGCCUGGGGAGUACGGCCGCAAGGCUGAAACUCAAAGGAAUUGACGGGGGCCCGCACAAGCGGUGGAGCAUGUGGUUUAAUUCGAAGCAACGCGAAGAACCUUACCUGGGCUUGACAUGCUGGUGAAAGCCGGUGGAAACAUCGGCCCCUCUUCGGAGCGCCAGCACAGGUGCUGCACGGCCGUCGACAGCU